rnacentral:rRNA from 1 species
UACUAAGGCGCUUGAGAGAACUCGGGUGAAGGAACUAGGCAAAGUGGUACCGUAACUUCGGGAGAAGGUACGCCGCUGACGGUGAUGAGACUUGCUCUCUGAGCUAUCGGCGGUCGCAGUGAAAAGGCCCCUGCAACUGUUUAUUAAAAACACAGCACUGUGCUAAAUCGAAAGAUGACGUAUACGGUGUGACACCUGCCCGGUGCCGGAAGGUUAAUUGAUGGGGUUAGCGUAAGCGAAGCUCUUGAUCGAAGCCCCGGUAAACGGCGGCCGUAACAAUAACGGUCCUAAGG